CAGGCCUGGACUCAGCUGCUGGGCCGCGAGCUGGUUGAGUUGGUCUUCAGCAGAGACUGGCAGAUCAGAGACACAGGGAUCUGCCGGCUGGCUGAGGAGCUGAGCCACAUGGUAAGCAGUCCUGGUGGCCGCUCGGCGGUGGACCUGCUGCACCACUUGGCCGACCUGCUGGCGGUGCUCUGCGCCGACCCCGUCUACAAGGUCUUCGACGGCGCUAUCAGGUGCCUGAGAGUGCUGCUGCAGCGCGUGCCAUGCUGC